UAAGGAAUAUUGGGCAAUGGACGCAAGUCUGACCCAGCCAUGCCGCGUGCAGGAUUGACGGCCCUAUGGGUUGUAAACUGCUUUUGUAUGGGAAAAAACCCCCGGUCGUGUACCGGGGCUGAUGUUACCAUAAGAAUAAGCAUCGGCUAACUCCGUGCCAGCAGCCGCGGUAAUACGGAGGAUGCAAGCGUUAUCCGGAUUCAUUGGGUUUAAAGGGUGCGCAGGCGGAACAAUAAGUCAGUGGUGAAAGCCUACAGCUCAACUGUAGAACUGCCAUUGAUACUGUUAUUCUUGAGUAUAGUUGGAGUGUGCGGAAUGUAUCAUGUAGCGGGGAAAUGCUUAGAUAUGAUACAGAACACCAAUCGCGAAGGCAGCUCACUAAACUAUAACUGACGCUCAUGCACGAAAGCGUGGGGAUCAAACA
rnacentral:rRNA from 1 species